UACAGAGACCUCAAGCGUUAUCCGGAAUCAUUGGGCGUAAAGCGUACCGAUAGGUGGUUUUGAAAGUUUUGGGUAAAAGCCAGAAGCUCAACUUCUGAGUUUGCUCAAAAUACUGCAAAACUAGAGGGGCAAAGAGGAGACUGGAACGAACGGUGUAGUAGUGAAAUGCGUUGAUAUCGUUCGGAACACCGAAAGCGAAGGCAGGUCUCUGGGUGCCACCUGACACUGCUAGGACGAAAGCGUGGGGAGCGAAUGGG
rnacentral:rRNA from 1 species